AGCCACCUGUGUGCUUGUCCAUCCGCUCUCUUCUUACUCUCACCCCUUUGCAGAGGAAAUGAAGUUUUUAUGUCCUCUAGCCGCAACAAUGAGGAGAAGUGGACAAAGGGCUUCUUUAUAGUCUUUCCCCCUUCCCCUAUGUCCUGUCUGUGGCCAAAGGGCAAGUAUAAAGUUGUGUUUUGGAGUCCUACAAGAGGAAAUCCUAAUCAUCAAUCUUCCCUGGGUCAUUCAGGCAGGACACUAAUGAGCUAUGGAACUGGGCUACAAAUGCUCAGAGAUGGAAACUUUCUAACUAAAGAUCAAUCAAUCAUUAUGUGUUUUCCUAUAUGGCCAUCAGAAGACAGAUCUACAUGCAGGCACAUAUGAGAAAACUGAGGCUCAAAAAUAGUGGUCAUGCUAUCUUGUCUACAGAAUCGCCCAACUACUAAAUUCUGAAAUCAAGGAAGCAAGAUAAUCAAGAGAAAGCCAGUCAUGAGUUACUGUUUUCAUGAAGAUCUUUUUUGUGAUCUUAUUAAAUGUCAAAUUAUAGCAUCCUUGGAACCUCCCUGCCCUUGUCCGUGUGCCCAAUAAUCAAACUAUUGUUAUCCUACCACCAAAAUACAAAAUAAACAAACAGGCAAAAAAGUAU